rnacentral:antisense_RNA from 1 species
GGAGGAGGGGAACACCCAGCCCCAGAAACAGGGUCUCACUUUGUCACCCAGGCCGGAAGGCAGUAGUACAAGCAUGGCUCACUGGCAGCCUCAACCUCUCAGGCUCACGCAAUCCAAGCUAUCCUCCCACCAGCCUCUUCAGUAGCUGGGACUACAAGUGCCUGCCACAUCUAAUUUUUUGUAUUUUUUGUAGAGAUGGAGUUUUGCCAUGUUGCCCAGGCUGGUCUCGAACUUCUGAGCGCAAGUGAUUCAUCUGCCUUAGCCUCCCAAAGUGCUGGGAUUACAGGCAUGAGCUACUUUUUUUUUUUUAAACAGAUAAUCAACAGGGCCAAAGCAAUUAAGUCAUUUUCCCAGUCACUCGGCCAAUAAGCAGCAAGUCAAUGACCAGAACAAAUUAUACAACUUUCAGCUUCCCAUAACUGAUCUAAGCCUACAAAAAAAAUGGAUGAGACUAGGCAGAAGAAACAGUGUCACCUUCAUCCCCUGGUCAUCUAGUCAAGAACUAUGCAAAAGCUAUAUGUAACAGAAAUCUAGGACCAUAGGCUAGAGUGCCAUGGCACAAACAUGGCUCAAUGCAGCCUCAACAGCUUGGGCUCAAGCAAUUCUCCCACCUCAGCCUCCAGAGUAGCUGGGGCUACAGGCAUACGCGCCACUGUGCCUGGCUAAUUUUUUUUUUUAAACAGGGUCUUGCCAUGUACUCAGACUGGUCUCAAACUCCUAGGCUCAAGCAAUCCUCCCACCUUGGCCUCCCAAGAUGCUGGGGUUACAUGCAUGAGCCACCAUGCCCGGCCAUAUAUCCUACUAUUCUUAAAGAUUCAGUUCAAGUUCCAUCCAUGUGUGAUGUCUCCUUGACCACUCACUGCACAAUUCUCUCCCU